rnacentral:misc_RNA from 1 species
UCUCCGUUGGUGAACCAGCGGAGGGAUCAUUACAGGACUCGCAAGACUCCUUCACCCUUUGAACCUCACUACAAGCACGUUGCUUCGGCGGGUGUCCCGGCGGGGGUUUUCCCUCGCCGGGGCGCACAGCCCGCCGGCAGCCUACUAUACUCUGUUUCUUUGCGUUGGCAUCUCGAGAAAAAACAAACAAGUUAAAACUUUCAACAACGGAUCUCUUGGCUCUA